rnacentral:rRNA from 1 species
GGAAUCUUGGACAAUGGGGGAAACCCUGAUCCAGCGACGCCGCGUGACCGAUGAAGGCCUUCGGGUCGUAAAGGUCUUUCAGUGGGGACAAUAAUGAUGGUACCAACAGAAGCAGGAGCGGCUAACUACGUGCCAGCAGCCGCGGUAAUACGUAGGCUCCAAGCGUUGUUCGGAAUUACUGGGCGUAAAGCGAGUGUAGGCGGUCCGUCAAGUCGAUUGUGAAAUCUCCCGGCUCAACUGGGAGGGUGCGGUCGAAUCUGACGGACUAGAGUUCGGGAGAGGAGAGAGGAAUUCCUGGUGUAGCGGUGAAAUGCGUAGAUAUCAGGAGGAACACCGGUGGUGAAGACGGCUCUCUGGACCGAUACUGACGCUGAGACUCGAAAGCGUGGGUAGCAAAC